GCCAGUGUUGUGCAGUGGUUUGAGUCUUGGACUACAGCUGUGGAGACCAGGGUUCAAAUCCCUGCUCAGGCA
rnacentral:tRNA from 1 species